GGAGUGCAUGGAAGAACACAUUGGUGUUCAGGUGGAUGGUGACGAUGCUGAUACUCUUGUGUCUUGCCGGCGCUGGUGCCGCGGGCUUCACCUUCGACAAGUACAACCUGAGGGUCCCAUCACAUAAUAUUUUUCUGGUAUUAUUUGAACAUGUGGCUGGUAUUAUAGGUUUCAGAGAACGACAUAUGAUCUUGGAAUUGUCAAUUCGGUUCUAUGAAGGUAUUAGGUGCUUAGUUGGAGGUACAUAUUCAAGGUUGAGGCUGAAAUGCACGAUGUAGAAAGUAUGGUGCCAAACAUGGAGGAGCCCCUUGUUGGGGGCAACGUUGAGAAGAUAGAGGGACAGGAGAUAGGUUGGUACUGAUUGAGGUUAAGAAGAAGUUGUACCGUGCUGGGCAUAUCGCUGUUGGAUUUCAUGAAUUAUUAUAGAUGUAUGAGUAGAAGAAAUUCAAAUGGGAAGCAUAGUUGAAGAAUGCUGAUGACAAUGAGCGCUCAUUGUGGUCGAUGUGAACAUUGAAAAGAUGGGAUGCAUUCAGGAAAUGGGGUUGAAGAUAUUCCGUCUGCUGCCACAUUCAAUGUCAUCGCAAAUGAUACAUCACCAAGCAUAAUCUCGAAUGGUAUAGGAAAAGGAUCUAUUGUUGAGCCAGUUGAUUCUUUUUUCCUGGAUAUGUUUCCCCCUUUCUACAUAAAUAUCAAUAACUAUCAGUAGAAAUCCAUAAAUAGAUAAUAUUAAGUACUCUUAUAAGGCACAUUUAUUUAUAUUUUUCAUGAGACCAACCUUUACAAUUUUGUGUAUAUUAGCAUCUAAAGUUUAAUUUUGGCAAGUUUGGUUACACACAUUGAAAUGGUUGUAAUGGGACAAUAAUAUGUUUUUUUG